GGCCCCUUCGUCUAGAGGUCAGGACGUUGCCCUCUCAAGGCAGAAACACGGGUUCGAGUCCCGUAGGGGCCG
rnacentral:tRNA from 1 species